rnacentral:rRNA from 1 species
UACAGAGGUCCCAAGCGUUGUUCGGAUUCACUGGGCGUAAAGGGUGCGUAGGUGGUGAGGUAAGUCGGAUGUGAAAGCUCGGAGCUCAACUCCGAAGUGGCAUUGGAAACUACCUUGCUCGAGGGUUGGAGGGGGGACUGGAAUGCUUGGUGUAGCAGUGAAAUGCGUAGAUAUCAAGCGGAACACCAGUGGCGAAGGCGAGUCCCUGGACAACUCCUGACACUGAGGCACGAAGGCUAGGGGAGCAA